rnacentral:snRNA from 1 species
GGAUGUAAGGGUGAUCUGGCUGCAAUAUCUGUCACUCCACUGAGUGCAAGUAUUGAUUAGGCUGAGCUGGCUAACUAGGCGAGGUCCCCUUCUGCCUUCCUCACUCUGUGUGUUCCCCUGGAACAUGUGAGCUGGCUUGGUUGAAUAGGGGGACCUUCCCUGAUAGAGGAGGAACAUAUAUGAGUAGCUGUACUUCCCUGCAGAACCUCCAAACAAGCUCUCAGCGUCCAUUUGUAGAAUAUAAGGUGAUUAAGCUUCCAAGACUCCAAACACAUCCAAAUGAGAUGUUGCAUGUGGUAGUCUGCUCUUU